rnacentral:snoRNA from 1 species
GCCUUGAUGAUGAUACUUUUAACUCAGCUCACUCAGAGUUUUCUAGCUGCUGAUAACCUUUUUCCAACACUCUGAUCAAGGC